GCUAAUACCGGGUAACACGUAGCAUCGCAUGAUGCAACGUUGAAAGUUGGCCUUUGGCUAACACUGUAGGAUGGGCCCGCGGCGCAUUAGCUAGUUGGUAAGGUAACGGCUUACCAAGGCCACGAUGCGUAGCCGACCUGAGAGGGUGAUCGGCCACACUGGGACUGAGACACGGCCCAGACUCCUACGGGAGGCAGCAGUAGGGAAUCUUCCGCAAUGGACGAAAGUCUGACGGAGCAACGCCGCGUGAGUGACGAAGGCCUUCGGGUCGUAAAGCUCUGUUGUUAG
rnacentral:rRNA from 1 species